GGGCGUAAAGCGCACGCAGGUGGCUUUUUAAGUCGGAUGUGAAAUCUCUUAGCAAAACUAAGAAAUUGCAUCCGAAACUGGAUUGCUUGAGGUCGGGAGAGGAGAGUGGAAUUCUCGGUGUAGCGGUGAAAUGCGCAGAUAUCGAGAAGAACACCAUUAGCGAAGGCGGCUCUCUGGAACGAUACUGACACUAAGGUGCGAAAGCUAGGGUAGCAAACAGGAUUAGAUACCCUGGUAGUCCUAGCUGUAAACGAUGGGCACUAGAUGUAGGGAGAUAUCGACUCUUCCUGUGUCGUAGCUAACGCGUUAAGUGCCCCGCCUGGGGAGUACGACCGCAAGGUUAAAACUCAAAGGAAUUGACGGGGACCCGCACAAGCGGUGGAGCAUGUGGCUCAAUUCGAUGCAACACGAAGAACCUUACCAGGGCUUGACAUUCUGGUGGUAGUGAUCUGAAAGGUGAACGACCCUUCGGGGAGCCAGAACAGGUGGUGCAUGGCUGUCGUCAGCUCGUGUCGUAAGAUGUUGGGUUAAGUCCCGUAACGAGCGCAACCCUUAUCCCAUGUUGCUAACAUUAAGUUGAGGACUCUUGGGAGACUGCCGGUGUUAAACCGGAGGAAGGUGAGGAUGACGUCAAGUCAGUAUGCCCUUUAUGUCCUGGGCUGCACACGUGCUAC
rnacentral:rRNA from 1 species